UGAAUCCCAUUUCUCAGUGAAACCGGUAAACUUGGAUGCAGUUGUUGGAUCUCACUCAUCAGGAUAUGUUCACUCCACCCGGCUUCUCUCAAAGCAUGAACUCAAGGAUGCUGUGACGACUUUGCUAGAGAGCAGAGCUCUCAGUGGUUAAAUCUUUUGCGCCGAAACAAAAUUUCAUUUGCUGGGAACUGGAGAAGGGCCAUACACUGGAUAUAUGCCAAUUGUUAGUUAGGCCCAUUUAAAUUUUGUUUGGACCCAUUAAUUUUUUACUCCAUUAUUUUUGCAUUUGAGCAUAAUUCCUGCUCUUAUUACACCGAAUUUGAAUCUCAUGGUCACUGAAAACUCAAUGCAAAGCAUUUCAAUGGGAAAUUUUCUCUGAUUGUGAAAGAAAUGUCUAUAGUUCCAAGCAUUUGAA
rnacentral:misc_RNA from 1 species